rnacentral:rRNA from 1 species
AGAGUUUGAUCAUGGCUCAGAAUAAGCGCUGGCGGCGUGCCUAACACAUGCAAGUCGAGCGAGAAAGGCCUCGGGCUAAGUACAGCGGCAGACGGGUGAGUAACGCGUGAGAAUCUGCCCUUCAAUGGAGAAUACCUCCGAGAAAUCGGAGUUAAUACUGCAUACGUCCCUUCGGGGAGAAAGAUGGCCUCUUUGCUGUC